UGGAUGGUGGCACAGUCGGUUGUGCUUUCGGUUUGGGCUCUUUCCUUUCAACAAUUUGACGGCCACUUUCCUCAUAUUCUCCCUUUGAAAUCCACUGGGCUUUGCCCGCGCAGGUUCGAAUCCUGUCGGCUGAG